CCUACGGGUGGCAGCAGUGAGGAAUAUUGGUCAAUGGACGAGAGUCUGAACCAGCCAAGUAGCGUGAAGGAUGACUGCCCUAUGGGUUGUAAACUUCUUUUAUAAAGGAAUCAAACGGGGCACGUGUGCCUUUUUGCAUGUACUUUAUGAAUAAGGAUCGGCUCACUCCGUGCCAGCAGCCGCGGUAAUACGGCGGAUCCGAGCGUUAUCCGGAUUUAUUGGGGUUAAAGGGAGCGUAGAUGGGUUGUUAAGUCAGUUGUGACAGUUUGCGGCUCAACCGUAAAAUUGCAAUUGAUACUGGCAGUCUUGAGUACAGUUGAGGUAAGCGGAAUUCGUGGUGUAGCGGUGAAAUGCUUAGAUAUCACGAAGAACCCCGAGUGCGAAGGCAGCUUACUAAACUGUGACUGACAUUGAUGCUCGAAAGUGUGGGUAGCAAACAGGAUUAGAUACCCCUGUAGUC
rnacentral:rRNA from 1 species